rnacentral:misc_RNA from 1 species
AAGUCGUAACAAGGUUUCCGUAGGUGAACCUGCGGAAGGAUCAUUAACACGUAUCCAACGUUAAACCCCCUGUGAACCUUCAUUGUACGAGUUACAUCCACGUCAUAAACCGGCAAUCUCUGGUAAAUCAUCGCCGAACAGUUUUGAUUCAGAGACCUCUGGGAAGGGUGUACGGUAGUGCGAGGCAAUUGACCUGGCAUUCCUCUGCUUGUUAGUGUCUGAAAGUGUCACUAGCUAUGUACGGAUGGCGCAGUAACGAUCGCUGGAGGCCGACACGGCCGGCGACCAGGUCACUGGGCUAGGUGCGGCCACCCCUAAUGCUUGAACAACUGUUAACAAUGGAUAUCUUGGUUCUC